GAUGAACGCUAGCUACAGGCUUAACACAUGCAAGUCGAGGGGAAACGGCAUUUAGUGCUUGCACCGAAUGGACGUCGACCGGCGCACGGGUGAGUAACGCGUAUCCAACCUACCCAUUACUGUGGGAUAGCCUGCCGAAAGGCAGACUAAUACCGCAUAGUCUUCGAUGACGGCAUCAGAUUUGAAGUAAAGAUUUAUCGGUAAUGGAUGGGGAUGCGUCUGAUUAGCUUGUUGGCGGGGUAACGGCCCACCAAGGCGACGAUCAGUAGGGGUUCUGAGAGGAAGGUCCCCCACAUUGGAACUGAGACACGGUCCAAACUCCUACGGGAGGCAGCAGUGAGGAAUAUUGGUCAAUGGACGAGAGUCUGAACCAGCCAAGUAGCGUGCAGGAUGACGGCCCUAUGGGUUGUAAACUGCUUUUGUAUGGGGAUAAAGUCAAUCACGUGUGAUUGUUUGCAGGUACCAUACGAAUAAGGACCGGCUAAUUCCGUGCCAGCAGCCGCGGUAAUACGGAAGGUCCGGGCGUUAUCCGGAUUUAUUGGGUUUAAAGGGAGCGUAGGCCGGAGAUUAAGUGUGUUGUGAAAUGUAGACGCUCAACGUCUGACUUGCAGCGCAUACUGGUUUCCUUGAGUACGCACAACGUUGGCGGAAUUCGUCGUGUAGCGGUGAAAUGCUUAGAUAUGACGAAGAACUCCGAUUGCGGAGGCAGCUGACGGGAGCGCAACUGACGCUUAAGCUCGAAGGUGCGGGUAUCGAACAGG
rnacentral:rRNA from 1 species